GAUUAUGGGUAAGUGAGAACAUGUGUAUUUUAGGAAAUCAACAUGCUAAGGGGACGCUGACAACUAACUGCACUGGCUUGGAUGACGUGAGCUUUGCUUCUGAGAGCAAACAUCCCAUGUGACUUCCCACGCAUGGACUCCGUGGCCUCCUGCUCGCUUUCUCAAACAAGGGAAUCCUCAUCAGUUCACCAGAAAUUACUUUUCUGUUAAGAAGAAGGAGAGGAAGAAGAAAAAGGGCAGGGAGGAGCAUCUGACUCUUCACACCGGGCCGGCAUCCGCAUAAAAUACGGAUGAGGCUGCUCCCAUAACUUGUCUUAGAAAUCAGCUGCUCCGAGUUUCCAGUGCUGGCUCAUCAACCACACGGCAGAUCAAAUGAGCCAACCGCUCUUGUCGAGUACUGCGUCCUCCUCUUUCCUGCGAAAGCCGGGGCUGCUUUAAAAUCUUAUCUGCAGAAAUCCCUCCCGGACGCUGAAGGAGCUCUACACACCACAGGCACAGCGCUCUUCAUUAUGGUCUGCGUUGGCCGGACACAGAGAGUGCGUAGCGCGCCCCCUCCGGCAGAGGGAGAGCAGCGGUCACAGUGUCGCUAGGCCCUGGGGAUCAUCUGCUUAUACAGGACAUCUGCCACACCGGGGAGCUAGCGACGCCCGAGGAGGUGAGUGGGGCGCGUGUUGUGACUGCUGCCAUCUGCAACGGGGGAGACUGAGGGGCGGAGACAGGGAAACGAACUGACUCUGGUUACAGUUCAUGUCAGAAGUCCUGGGACUGGACGUCGGGGGUCACUGACCUCUAAGCCACCAUAAAUGUCACUAGGAUUUCCUCAGGGGCCUGCCUUUCUGUUCCUUCCCCGCGCUGCAUGCCUUGGUGCAUGAAAAGCUGCCAACAUGGAAGUGUGACGGUGAAUAAGAACAGGCGGGGACGGUGGCUCUGACUGCUACAAGGGCAGCGGGAAAGGACCACGAAAAUGCGAUCUCGCGUUGCCUCCCUACUUUAUUCUGCCUAGCCGCACCGCCGGUCCCCGGGGCCUCUCCCCACUGCUGGCCCGCCUGAGUGGGCACGAAUCUAUCACGACUGCGGCACAAUCAGAUGAUCCGACGUGACUGGAAGCUCUCACGGAGUCCACGUGCUGCGGUGGCGCAGAGGGCCCCGGGACCGAGGUCCCCCCGCGUCCCCUUGCACCGGAGGUUGUGCAGUCGCUGGCAUGGGGCGCGGCUGUGGGUGCCGCCGGCGACAGCGUGGGUGCUAUGCUAUGGCUCAGCCCCGGGCACCGCAUCCGCGUGGGACCUGUUCAGCUUUCAGAGCGGCACGUGUUUUCCGUGCGGCGAGUGACAACCUUCGGAGCGAUCAGGGAACGCUCCGGCCGUCAUUCCCAAGCCACCUUCGGAGGAAAGUACAGGGACCGCAGGCUCGUGGCUUCCUCCUCCUGUCCCCCUAGACUACCUCCUUGUGGGGCUCUGGAGGUGGACGUGGGCGGAAAACUCCGGUUCUCUGCGCCUGCGGCUCCCCCAGCUGACACCGGGAAGUGUCACGUCUCUAAGUCAAAAGAACCAAUGUUCUUCCUCACAUGGUGCUGAAUUUAGCUAAAAUGAGGGAAAUGGGUGGAAAUUAGUGCUUUGGGACUCAAGGGCCAACCUUUGCUUUCGGCAUGUGGCUCGAGAUGGCAGUGCUGUCCCAGAACCUGAGACCAGGAAUGAAAAGAAGUUUCUAAUUAGCCCCGCGGAAACUGUAUCGAUAAGCACAUUAAGAGAAUGAAAUGCUCUUUGUACUGCAAACAUACGGAGCUCUUAGAAGAACUGGAGAAUAUGUUUUACAGAUACACUCUGACUCAGGCCUCCUGGGCUGUCUCGGGAAACACGGUCAGAUGAGGGUGAAUUCUGGAGCGCUUGCGAGCGGUGGAGGGAAGGGUCUGUGUGGCGCUGUCCAAGGGGAGGCAAACAUGGAAAGAAAACAGUUAGCUCCAGCUGCCGUGGAUGGCUGCUGGCAAAAAUACUGGUUUUCAUCAAUGCUCGAAGCCACAGCGGCCGGUUCCGUCAUGGUGACAAAGAGGAACCUGCCAUCUCCGGGACCGUGUCAUCUCUGCCACUUCAUGGACUUCCUGUGCUCAGGCCUCCAGGAGUUCUGCUCUUUGAAAUCAAAGCCUGAGACCCCAGGACAGGCCCAGUUAUUCUGAGUCCCUACCUGCUCUGUGCUACGGGGAACGACUGAUGUUUGUCCUCGGUUUCUAUCACCAUCAAGCGGCCUGUCCCCUCCCCAUUUCUCUCAGGCAUGGGCAGAAAGCUGGAGACUCGGAUGAAAACAACAAAUAUCCUCUCUCCUCCUCCCCAUCUCUCCCUCAUCCGCCAACAUCUACUUCAGUGUGAGAUAGAAAGGGAUGUGAACGACAGGACAGCCUGUCGGCCUCCGGGCUGGCCGGGACAGCCUGAGCUAAUAAGUUGGCAUCGAGACCUUGUCGACCUGAGAAAUACAAGGUGAUCACUUCGACUACGGUGAAAAGUUCAGGUUGGACAACUUGAUCACACGGGACGCAUUACAGGGUGACCUCUUGCUGUGUGCAGUGGCUACAUCUACCUUGAUGGUGACACAGAGUUCCAAUUAGCACUUGAGGGAAGAGACUUUGCAGACAGCACACUCACCUCGACUCAGCCCGUCGGGUCCCCGGAGAAUCCGGCAUUCUUCUAUCUGGCCAAAUGGAGAAAACAUCACCCUGAUAUCAUUCUCAUUACAUUUCUUCGAAACCAUUCCUAUGAACAAUUUUCGGUCUUCCACGGCUAGGAGAUAAAAAUAAUGAAUGAGCAAAGGCCAUUUUAUCCCGUUUCUCGUAAUCACGGCUUCAUUACCACAUCAAACCGGGUCCCAGCCACGUGAGACCCAGCAUGGGCCGAAAGCCAGCUCUUUCGACUUCCAGGCUGCCUUCCUUCCCCACCCCACCCCGUCUUGCCUCUACUCUCCCUUCCUGAACACUGCCUCUUUCUGGCGCUUGUUCUUACCAACAUGACAUCUUCAGAGGACAUGGAACACUGUGAGGUCCUCUCUUCCCAACCCUGUUUGGAAACUCGGUUUUCCCUAAUUUGUUCAAGCUCCAUGGAGUUGCUAAAAUACUACCAUUCCAUAGAGAUACUUUAGAAUACAGGUUAAAAACAUUUUUUUUUUUUGGUAGAUAUUCUUUUAACUUGAAGAAUGGCAGAGAAAGAAAAAGGUCAGGGAAAGAAAGGAACAGAGGGAGCGGGAUAGGAAAUAGAUCUUUUCAUAAAGCAUUCAGUGGGGAAAACCUUCUCCCCCAACUUCAAAUAGCUUUGGAUCCAUGGAUCCAGACAGUAAGAAGAGAUAAGAGAGAUGCUCAUCUCUCUGGAGAGCCAGUAAAGAAGACCUUCCAUGGCUGUCUGUCUGUCGGUCUGUCCGUUGCACUGGCUGUGCAGCUCUAACCAGGACAACACAGGGUUGGCAAGCGAAGAGGACGGCAAUUCCAAGGAAAGAAUGGGACUGGGGCUACCUGAGGAUCGCACCAGGAUGACCCCAUCGGGAACCCGUAACAAAAAAGAACAAGGAGGGAAUAAUACUGUUCUACACCCAGAGGCAGGACUCUUGAUGAGCAAAAAUACAUUUUGGGUAUCAUGACAACAAGAAACCAAUUCCAUCGUGGAACCUGCCAGGAGGUACAGACUAGGGAAGGUUUACCUCUGAUGACCUGGGAGAUUUUCCUCAAAAUCUACAAGCUUGUGCUCAGGAUAACUGGCCUACGUUUAGCCUCAAAGGCACAAUUAUAACUGAUUUCAGGACAGUGUUUGCAGUCCUCUUUAGGAAAGAGAAAAGACAAAAAACAAAAAACAAAAAAACCAAACAUUCCCCUGCCUCCAUUUUACAAUGAAAACAAAACAAAACAAAACAAAACAAAAAGCCCACCCUAGAUGCCCAUGGGGAGUUUUAUUUCCCAUGUUGCAUUUUAACCCAUUUCUUGAAAUUUAAAGAAAGGACAACCAGCUGCACCAGCACCUGAGAGGCAGUCCUGGCUUCGGGAGGGGCCCUGCCAUCCAUCCCUGUGUAGGAACCCUUGCUGUCGUAGCUGUACCAUAACCUCAUCACUGCCAUCUAACUGGCUUUUAUCUCUCGGUUAUUCUUUCCCUGGAGAGUCAGUGUCUCAUUUCCACUUAACCGACAAGACUGUGUUAUAGAAUUUCCAGGGCCAGGUGCUUUUGGUGCCUGAGUCAGGCCGGCCCGGGGCGCCCGGGGAGCUGGGAGAGAGCCGCUGGUGAUGCUGGGGCAUCAUGACACAGGGAGGUUUGCUCUGGAGCAGACAGCCUCGGAGGACCCGCCAGGAAGGGAACCGCUCCGUCCCGGAUGUCCGCUGCAGUAGCUAAAGCCAUGUGAGCACCUGGAACCUGGCUAGUGUGACUGAGGAACUGAACUGUUACUGUGAGUUAAUUUUAAUCUAAUUUUAAAAAGCCACAUGUGACACUAUAUUGGAUGGAGCAGCUCCGAGGGGCCUCAGUGAGGCAGCUAAAUGCUCUCCCCACAGAGCCCCAGACCGGAAGGAAGACGCGAAAGAUGUGGUUUUAGUUGGCUCUGAAGCGGGGCAGUGAAGGAACUUGCCCGGGGCCGCACUUGAUGCCCUACUCCCAGCCCUUCCCUACGAGAGCAGAGGAGGAGAGAAGGCGGCCCAGCUGCAUGUUUGGGGCAGGAGAACGCCAGAGCCCAGGAUCCCACCUGCCAGCCACCCUCUGCACUUGGCAGCUCCUGAGACCCGGCAGGAAAACAAGGGCUCCGAGGGACGCCAGCAGAGACCACGAUGCCACAGGACUGUGAGCUGCGGAGCGUGCGCCAAGAGCUCGAGAAAGGUUUGACGGGCGAAGAACAGGGCAUUUAAGGUGGACUUUAAAGAGCUUGGGGAGAGCCUGGCGGAAGGAUGGGGGCAGCAAUUCCGGCGGCUUCUGCAGGGUGGCUCAAGGUAUGAGGGAAGGAAAACUCGGUCCACGGCCGCUGCCUGCGUUGAGCCUCAGCAAGGUGGAUGUGGGCAAUGGCGUCACUGACUUCCCUCCUGCAGAUGAACGAUUUCACGCCUCAGAAGCUCUUCUCUCUCCCGUCGGAGCAGGUGAGCCACCAGUGCGGUACUGGGAAGCGGUGCAAGUGAGUUAAGCAUCCGUGCUCACCAACACCAGGGUGACCAGGAGUACACGGUGGCCCCAAGGGAACGAGGCAUCCCCGCGAUGGGCAGGACCGGACUGAAGCCUGGCAGAGCAGGCAGUGGGAAACUCUUCCAGUCGCAGCCUUAACCUCCCCCCCCCCCCGC